AAGGAAUUUGUUGAGAGUAGUCAACGCAGGCCAGUGACCAUGGACAGCAUCCUUCAGAAGCUGAGGAAUUUGGACGCCUACCCUAAAAUCAAUGACGAUUUCUUCAGCCGUACACUCUCCGGUGGCAUUAUUACCCUCGCCUCUUCCCUCCUUAUCCUCUUGCUUUUCUUCUCUGAGCUCAGUAUGCAACCCUUUUUCACUUUUUCUAUUUAUCAACUCUCUCUCUCUCCCCCCUGUUUAUUUUUCGCUUUUCUAAUAGUUCUGAGGUGCGGAAAAAGUUUAGAAAUUGUAGCAUUUGGGUUGUGCUGGAUUGCUUCUGUCAUCUAUAUCUAUUGUUUGUAAAUGGAUCAACUGAGAUUUUUGUUUAAUUUUAUUUUUGUGUUAAAAGUCAAUUUGGUUCACUUCACACACUGGGCUUGGAUUAAUUGGGUUUUUUUCAGGGACAAUUAAAAGUUUCUUCUUGAUGAAUAAAUUUGUGGAGGGGAAAUUGGAGUUAGUUAGAGGAUCAUAUUUGUAGCUAUUCGUCGUGAUGAAUAAAUAUUUGUGGUGGAUUAGAUGAUGGAAGGCCUUGAUAGUAGCCAUUGGCCAUCGAUCAAGGGAUCAAAACUAUCAAUAAGCGGCACAAUAAUUCUAUUAAAUCUGUUUGUAAUGCUGAGUUCUUUUUCCCUUUUACUGCUGCAGUCAUCGAUCCAAUUGGAUGAAUGCUGGAGCUAUGACCACUUAUUUUGCUGUUAUAUAAUAUUAUAAAGUUGUAUUUUAUUUGUUUAUUUAUUCUUUUACUUGCUUGUGCUUGCAGGACUAUACCUCCACACUGUUACAGAGUCAAAGCUGCUUGUAGAUGCUUCAAGAGGAGAAACCUUACAUAUCAAUGUAAUGAUCUCUGUAUUUUUGCUUCCCCAUGUUCACUUUUAAGUGAUCAAUGUUAAACCAUUCAUUUUACAAUAACUUCAAAGGUUCAAAUUAUCAUUCUUUGCAAGUUAUAGUUGUUAUUUUGUAAAACACCUUUUUAUCUGUUAUGUUCAUACAUUUACAUCCAUUCUGGUUUUGCACUUUUACAUGGAGUAGUGCAUUUGCAUGUGAAAUAUUGUCCCACAUAGUCGUUACUGGUUCUAGUUUUACUGAUUAUUUGUUUUUGGUUGAAACUGCAGUUUGAUGUAACUUUUCCUGCUAUCCGGUGCUCAUUACUCAGUCUUGACACAAUGGAUAUCAGUGGAGAACAACAUUUUGACAUAGUAUAAUACUACAGGCAGCUGCUUCUUGUUAAUUGUUUUUCUGCGUUAAAAAUUGCAAUUGUGUUAGGAACAUGUUUAAUAUUGACUUUUAUUGCAAUCAUGUUGCUUGUGACCAACUUUCUUGAAUGUCAUGCUUACUUCUUGUUAACAAUCACAAUUUAUGAUAUAUCUACUUGCAGCGACACGAUAUAGUCAAGAAAAGAAUUGAUGCUCAUGGUAAUGUAAUAGAAGCUAAGAAGGAUGGAAUUGGUGCACCAAAGGUU
rnacentral:lncRNA from 1 species